GAUUAACGCUGGCGGCGUGCAUAACACAUGCAAGUCGAACGAUGCAACUUAGUAUACUUCUUCGGAAAGAAACUAAGCGGGUUAGUGUCAAACGGGAGAGUAACGCGUGAGUAUCCUGCCUUACACAAGGGGAUAGCCUCUGGAAACGAGGAAUAUUACCGUGUAAAACCAUAAAAGCAGAUGCUAGAAUGGUCAAAGUGAUAGCGGUGUAAGAUGGACUUGCGUCUGAUUAGCUAGUUGGUGAGAUAAAAGCUCACCAAGGCAACGAUCAGUAGCCGGCUUGAGAGAGUGUACGGCCACAUUGGGACUGAGACACGGCCCAGACUGCUACGGGAGGCAGCAGUGGGGAAUUUUGCACAAUGGGGGAAAACCUGAGGCAGCGACGCCGCGGGAUUCAGAAGGCCUUCGGGUUGUAAAAAUCUUUUGUAUAGGAAGAAAAUGACAUAACUAUACGAAUAAGGUCCGGCUAAGUACGUG
rnacentral:rRNA from 1 species